GCACGUCUGGGGCUGGAGGAGCGAGUAAGAAGGCUACACCUGCGUCUGCGGACGGAAUGAGAGGCGAGUUCUUGUGUGAAGCGGAACGAAACCCAUCAGCAGCACGGCGCUCCCCCUCUUGUCACCUCGGCGCGCCAAUACCUCGUCCCAGCCUGCUUCCACCUGAGCCCGACGGAUUCCCUGGCUUCCCCCUCGCCCUCCGCGGCUCGGGAGAAUCCCCUCCAGCCAGACGGAUCAUUGCCUCUCCCUCCAGCGUGGCUUCCAUCAAUUGUAUUGCUCCUGCCGCCCGGACCCUUGUGCCUGCCUGCUUCUCCAGCGUCUCCCCCCGGCCACGGAUUCAGCGCUACCUAUUUAAAUCCAUUUGCUGCCGAAAAUAAAAUCAUUUUUUAUCCUCUGAAA